rnacentral:rRNA from 1 species
CCUACGGGGCGCAGCAGUGAGGAAUAUUGGUCAAUGGACGAGAGUCUGAACCAGCCAAGUAGCGUGAAGGAUGACUGCCCUAUGGGUUGUAAACUUCUUUUAUAUGGGAAUAAAAUGUUCCACGUGUGGGAUUUUGUAUGUACCAUAUGAAUAAGGAUCGGCUAACUCCGUGCCAGCAGCCGCGGUAAUACGGAGGAUCCGGGCGUUAUCCGGAUUUAUUGGGUUUAAAGGGAGCGUAGGUGGAUUGUUAAGUCAGUUGUGAAAGUUUGCGGCUCAACCGUAAAAUUGCAGUUGAAACUGGCAGUCUUGAGUACAGUAGAGGUGGGCGGAAUUCGUGGUGUAGCGGUGCAAUGCUUAGAUAUCACGAAGAACUCCGAUUGCGAAGGCAGCUCACUGGACUGCAACUGACACUGAGGCUCGAAAGCGUGGGGAGCAAACAGGAUUAGAUACCCCAGUAGUC